GUGGAACAUGUUAAUUUACUGAGUGUAUGUUAUAUUUUACUGCUCAUAUGUCAUACAGUAAUAUUCAUCUCCACACACAGAUCAAAGUCAGUCUGACAGACAUCGACUAUAUUCCAUCUGUUUAUGUAGCUGUUUUACUGCUACAACAAUAUCUGUUGGAGGCGUUGUUUUGAGUUUACUCAGGCUAAUGGCGGGGAGUGUAUAUCUGAGUCUGGAACUGUUGGAAUCAGUGCAGCUCCCCAGCCAGUAACACCAGGCUUUAGGUUCCUCUACUAUGGAAACAUGUCAUUCUGUGAAACAAACGUACCCAGCUCGUAAUCGGCCUCCUCCUCCUCCAUAUAUCCGAAUAUAUUCAACGCUAGGGCAUUUAACUAGUACUCUAGAACAGUUGAAGUCUAAGGACAAAAUAAUUUCGCACCUCGAACGAGAGCUGGGUCGAAUAUCGGGGUAUGCCCUAUCAGUUGAGGAGGAGAAAGGGGUCCGGGCAGACGGAUUCAGGAAGAAAGUGGGUGUGACCGGGGCCCACCCCAGUAUGAAGAUGGAGGCCGAUUCCUCGGACAGACUUAGCUCCAGUCAAAACAAAUUACGCGAUGGCUUUGAGACCAAUGCAAAGAUAACAAAUAUUGAAAUAGUCUCCCCAGCGGACGGGGAGAAGAAGAGGGUCAUGGAAUCCUCAGAAGACUUGGAGACUGAGAUCCGAGGACUACAGAAUCAGAUCAGCUCACUGUCUCAGGACAAGGAGGAACUGGUAAGAGAACUGAGCAUUUUUGAAGAGAAGAACAGAGAGCUGAUAGAGAAGAACAAAAGGUUUCUGGAGAAGAACAAAGAGCUGACAUCAGUAGAACGAAGCCUGAAGGACCAAACCCAGAUGCUCACAGAAGACAGCAUACAGCUAAAAGAGCAAUGUGAACAUUCCAAACGCAAGAUAAGCCAGCUGACUCGUCAGUUAUACAAUGCAAAGGGUGAAUGCAGUAAACUUGCCUCUCAGCUUGAAGAGUUCGGUGAGAUAAGACAAACGCUGAUGGAACAAGACAAGACUGUUGCUGCUCUCAGGGAAUCCUGUUCUGAAAAGGACAGGAGAAUUGAAUUAAUACAGCACAGAAAGAAAAGAAGAAGAUUACUAAAGUCACAAGAAAAGUGUACGGGUGUGAAAGAGACGUUUUACGGGUAUGAUGAAGAUGACAGAUCGGUGGAUUCUGAAAACUCUCAGUCGUCGACAGUGUCGUUCGGAACUACCUCGGACUGUGAUCUGUGGGAUGAGCUGUCUCAUGAGGAGAUCAGCAAGAACUACCAGCGACUGAUGAAGGAGCACCAUGAACUGGAGAAAUCCUUCGCCUUGUUACACAGUCACAAGUCAUCAGUGCUGGACCCACAGCGGGAACUACAGAUGCGAAGUCAACUAGAAUCUGAUCUGUUUCAAGCUCAGUGUAGAAUAGAAGAGUUAGAGAACUCUGUACAAACAGAACAACAGAUGGAAGCACAAGAGAUGUUAUUUAUGACAAAUGAACUACUUUUGCAAAAGAACCAGGUGUAUGAGACGCAGUGUCAGAAACUGCAGGACAAACUGUCCAAGUGUCAGGAAACGAUAGAAGACCUGGAAUUCAGACUUCUAGAAUUGGAAGGCUGUCAGCACUUGGAGAAUCUUGAAUGUGGUCAAGAAGAGACAACUGCACAUAGAGAUGAUGAAGACUGCCCAGUGAGGAGUGGGGAGGAGGAGGAGGAGGAAGGAAUGGUGGACCGGUCGACUCACUCCGAGAUGUCGGAGUUACGCCAUGAGUUCACCAAGCUGCUGGAGGAGCAGGGGCUGGAAGCAGAAGUCAUCCUUCAGAAGCUGGACACGGUGAUCAAAGCUGAACAGCAAAUUAAGAGUCUGGAGUACACGGCAGUGGAACUUCAGCGUAAAGUGAGCAGUCUACAGGAGGAGAAGGCUGCCCUCGAGGAGAUGCUACUGACUCCUCGCCACAACGCGCCUCAUGCUACCAGUAACGAGAAGGAACGUGCUGACGUGCUCGCAUUAAAGAACCAGAUAGAAAUCCUAGAACAUUCCCAACUGAAAUUAAUGGCAGAAAACUCCACUCUACAAAAUGACCUUCAAAAAUGUGAGUCUCAGAAUAAUUGGAUUAAAAAGCAAAUGGAGGACUUGAAAAUCUCCAUGAAGCUUGUGUCCCGUGACUCUAGCAUGCUGACAGAUCUUGCAAAAUUCGAUAAAAACUCUCAGACAGAGCUGAAAACAACGGACAAGGGCGUGUACGUGAACUCUUCAACCAGCAAGAGUCAGAACAAUGAAGUUGUCUCCCUUGAGCAAAAGCUGCAGAUGCUGUAUGAAGAAAACCUGAAACUGAAGUGCAGGUUUGAAGAAAAAUGUCUUCUUGGUGAUGGCUCAGACCAAGCCCGUGUUGAGGAACUGGAGGAGUACUGCGAAGACCUCCAGGAGCGGAUGUCUAAUGCAGAAAUGUCGGAACGACAGCUCCGUGAGAAGCUGAAACUUGCGGAGCAUACAAUCAAUGACCUUGAGAAUUCUGAAGGUCAUUUCCGUGAGGCCCUCGACAAACUGACCUCAAGGGAGCAGGAGACGAGGAGACAGACACAAGAACUGCACAGAACUGUGCGAGAGCUCAAGGAGAUUGUUGUUGAUAAAGACAUUGUUGAGCAAGCUCUCAGGGACAAGGUUGAGUUUCUGGAGAAAGCAGAAGCUGAAUCAGCGAGAAUAAUAUCAGAUCUGCAGGAGUCGGAGAGAAGUCUCCGUCAGCAGCUAGAAUUACAGAGCGACCUCGAGGGAGAUGUCUACAUCAUGAAACAACUGCGUGAGGAGGUACACAGCCUGGAAAGUGAAAACAAAGAACUGCACAUGAACGUCGCCGAGUUGACGGAAAACGAAGAAAUCCUCCGCGACAACUGGCGACGAGUGGCGGACGAGGAUGCCAACAGACGACAGUGCCUGGAGGAGAAAGUCAAAAUGUUGCAGCUCAUGAACCACAAUCUGAAAGCGAAUCUUGAGGAUGUGAAAGAACAUUAUGCCUUCACAAGAAUCCCUCACGGCGCCUCCCUGGCAACAGAACUUUCAGCUUCCAAGUCAUGCGACAACAUCAACCAGUCAUAUUACUGUGAGCAGGACGUGCUGGAUGUGGAGGCCAGGAUGAAAAGCCUAGAGGAGAGGAAGGAUGCCAAGAUAGAGCAGCUGGAGGAGAAGAUAGAGAACCUGCAGGAGAAGAUUGGCAAUCUGAGGGAGAACGAAAUCAAGUUGAGUGAGACAUUGGCCGAGAUGGAAACCACCGAGCAGGAACUCAGGAUCAAAAUCUCUCUCUACGAGAGCAAACAGGUGACAGUGGAGCGCAUGUUGCGGUACGAGGAUCAAAUAAAAGAACUUCACACGUCUCAGGAAAACCUGCUGGACAAACUCGACUCUCUGGAAGACAAUGAGGAAACUCUGCAAGAGAAACUCGAAACAAUGGAGAAGAUCCACAAAGCUAAAGUUAACUCCCUUGAGAAAAAGAUGAAAUCCUUGCUAGAAGAGCGAGAGAAAGCCAAGUUAAAGAUCGAGGAAGUGGAAAAAGAGAUUGCACGCUUGCAGCAGAAGUGUUUGGACUAUACCAUUACAAUUGAACAGCUGGAGAAAGUACUUGUUGAAGCAAAAUCCAGAGAAGAGAAGGCAACAGCGGAAAUCUUGAAGUUACAACGGGAAAUCAAACAAAAAGAAUCAGAUGCUCAAAGCCAAAUUGAAAUUCUAAGAAAAGAGAUUGAAAACAAUAAAAUAAAUGCUAAAACUAAGGUUAGCAAGUUGGAAAACAGUAUCCGUGAACUCACAGAAAAGGAUGCAAGUUCAGAAGCAAAGAUUUUCAAACUUGGAAAAGAAAUGAGUGACUUGAAGGAAGAGAAGACAACUCUUGCUGCUAAAGUGUCAGAGUUGAAACUUCACCAGAAACAAAUUAUAGAUAAGUUGCAUGAAAGUCAGAAACAGGAACAGAAUUUACAAACCAAAUUGAACGGAAUGGAAAAAUAUGAACAAGAACUGAUGGAAAAAUUGUCAGAAAGUGAAAAAAAUGAAACAAGGUUGCUAACAAAAAUAUCUGACCUGGAAAAGAAUGCAGAAGAUCUGCAGCACAGUUUUAGAUGCAGUGAAAGUUCACUGAGCAACAAAGUGUCAUCACUGAUGAAGGAACUUACAGAUUCCAAUAGAAAAAAUGAUUCCUUGACCAAAGAAUUGAUGAAAAAUCAAACACAAGUGAAAGAAUAUUUAUUAAAAAUUCAAGAGCUUGAAUCUAGAGAAAAAGAAUUAACAGAUUUGGUAAACAGUCUCCAAGAGAGUAGAAAUAACAGUUCUUUACAGUUAGAAAGUAAGAUUAAAAUGAUUGAACAGGAGGAUGAACGCAGAACAGCCAGGAUUAAUGAGCUGGAGCAACAGGAGGAAAAUACAAAAGCCAAAAUAGCACAACUUGUUCAGAAAUGCCACAAAUUAGACGUCCAUGUUGCUGAGUUGGAAUCACAAAAACGUGAUCAACAGAAUAAAAUUAAAUCACUUGAAAUGAAUCUUCUUGAUUUUGAAGAGACAAACAAAAAUGCAUCUGAAAGAAUAAACUCUCUUGAAAAGAUUCUGUUGGAGUAUGAGGAAACUGUUGUGGAGAAUAACACACAGAUAGAAAAUCUAACGGCUGAGAACAAAGAGUUCACAGAAAAGUGUUCGGAAUUGGAAAGUACUUUGGAAAACCGCGAAGCUGUGAGGGAUCUUCUCAAAGGCCACAUUUCUGAUCUGAAAAAAGAUGUCAACAUUAAAAGUGACAAGUUGGAAAAACUGGAGAAGGAGUUGAAAGAAAAGACAUCGAAGAUUUUGUCUUUGGAAAGCAAAGUCGGCGAUCUGAGUGUUCAGUAUGAGAAUGUUCAUACACUGAACACCUCGGUAGACAUGGAAAAGAAAAAUCUCCAAGAACAAGGUCAAAAUCUCCAGAAAAAGUUCGACCAGUGCAAACAGGAGGUGCACAAACUUACUGCAGAAAAAUCUGAGUUGUUGAAAAAUGUCUUUCAUUUUAAACAUUUAACAGAAUCUUUGGAAAAGGAGAAAAGUAAGAUUAAUGAGCAAAUUAUAAGCCUUCAAAAUGAGAAGAAACUUCUAGAACAAAAGGUUUUUGAAUUACAAAAGAGAACUGAAUUGUUAGAUGCUGAAAGGUCAGAGUUGAUAAACAAGGACAAAACUGAACAUGAAAACUUGACAUCUUUGACGCUGACAAAUACGGAAUUACAAGGUGACAUUCUAAAACUAAAACAGAAGAAUGAAACACUAACAAUAGCAGCAGAGGAAUAUGCAAAGAAGUGUGAUUCUGUGACGUUAGAAAAUGACAAUAAAAAAUUGAAAAUCUGUGAACUGAAAACUGUCAGUGAAAACCUAGAGAAAGACCUUAAGACAGUUCAUGAGAAAGAAAGUUUGCUUGCAUUCGAAAAUAAAGAUUUAAAAACAAAACUGAAUAACUGUGAAAAAGAACUGAAUGAUCUAACUUACUCUAAAGCUUCCCUGGAAACUGAACUUCAUAACCUGCACUCUGUUGUCGAAUCUCUGAAAAAAGACAAAGACAAAUUUCAGUCUAGUGACAAAUAUUUCCAAGAAGAAAAACGAGAAGUCCAAAAUAAGUUAUCCUCUGUGCACUCGGAAAAGGAAAGCCUAAGUCACCGAGUCAGUGAGUUGGAAUCUGAGAAAAGUGAACUGGAGAUGAAGAUGAAACAGUUGCUGGUAGAUCUGGAAUCCAGUCAGAAAGAAAACUGUCGUCUGAAUGUCUGCAUUGGUGAAUUAAAGAAAGGCCACCUUCAGCUUGAGGGAAAGAUGAAACAGGUGGAUCAGAAGAACCAGGAACUGGAGAAAAUGGUCACCAACUUCAACAAUAAUUGUUCUGUCAUGGAGAGGAAGAAUCAAAUAUUACAGGAUGCUGAACAGCACUUCAUGGACAGAGUUACAGAACUAGAGGAGAUAGAACAAACACUGAGAAUGGAAUGUGACCAGCUUAGGAGCAGGCUAGUUUCCAAGGUAACAAAAGAAGUCUCAACAGAAACACUUGGUCACAGGGAGCCAACUUCAGUACGCCGCUGUGAAACACAGGAUUCCUCCACAGACACUUCAGAUCUGAAAGAUUCAUCUACAGGUCUGAGUGUAUGUGGAGGAAGGGUAUCAACCAUGUUCACACGAGUCCAGGACUUGGAGACUGAAAACCGCCAGCUGUUAGCUAGACUUACAGAACUGGAAUCCAUCAGUGUGCAGAAAAAACAGCUGAGAGAGAAGAAUCGCCUUCUGGAACAGUCUGAGGACAAACUGAUGGAGAGAGUCAUGGAGCUGGAAGAAGGGGAAGAAAGGCUAAAAGCAGAGUUGGAAAGAAUGCGGAAAAAUUCUGGAUCAGUUGGCGACUUGGAAGUUGAACUGAGUAAACUGAUGAAAUCCGAGAGUGAGUGGAAGAGUAAAUGGAGUUCAGUGGUUGAAGAUAAGUGUGCUCUAGAGGAAUCAAUGCACAAGCUGGAGCAGGAGUUGGAAACACAAAGAAGUAAUAAUGAUAGGUUGAUGGUGCUUGAGAAGGAGUUUAAAGAGAAAAUGGAUGAAUUUGGGAAUGAGAAAGAAAGAUUGGAGAAAGUGGUUCAUGAGUUGAGAAGUGAACUUGAAGCAGAGAAACUAAAUGUGAAAAAUCUUGAAAAGUCCACGUCAGGACUGGACAGUGUUGUGAAGGAGAAGAAUGUCUUGUCAGCAAGAGUUGAUGAUUUAAAAUCAAAAUUGUUCUCGGCAAAGAAACAGUAUGAAGUAGCAGUGUCAAAAUCAGAAGAACAGCAAAGGGAAUAUGACCUUCAGUUUUCAAGGCUCCGCGAAAAACUGUCUGAAUCUGAACACAUCAUUGUUGAUCUGCAGAAAAGUAAAACAAGCAUGGAAGAUCAUGAAAAGAAACUUAAGGAGGAAAUUAAUCUCUUAGUCAGGCGUGAGGGAGAAUUGAAAGGUGAGAUUCAGAUUCUUGAAACCGAGCUGACAGAAGUCUGUGAUAAGAUCAGAUGUCUGGAAGAUGACAAUUCCAGCCUAAAUAAACAAUGUCAUGACCUUGUUCAGAAACAGCAGAAGUCCGAGGAACUGAUAAAGAACCUGAACAUGGACUUGGAGCAAUUCAGACAGAAACCUCUUUCUAAAUCUGUGCUUCCUAAAAUUGGUAGUGCUUUCCUCACACCAGCUCCUGGUACCCAGGCCAGGGAUGGUGUGAGCAAACCUCACCAGCUUGGUGCUAUGAAGGCAGUGUCAUCACUGAGAAGUCGAAGUGCAUCCAUCGGCGUUGCCCAGUCGGAUGAAAAAGUCUUUCAGGAGAAGGUAAAAUUAGAAAGUGUUGCUAAGCAGCAAGAACAAGAACUUAGAGAGAUCUCACAGAGGUAUGAAAUACUUCAGAGGAAGGAGAAGGAACACCAAGAAAAGAUAACUGAGCUUGAAAAACACAAUUCUGAACUGCAGCAAAGACUUGGUGCAUCUGUAGGACAGAUUUCAAAGUUACAAAAUAGUGCUUCCUCAUCAGAUGCCAAAUCUUCAGAUGACACACCCUGUGCUCUUUCAAUUCAGAGUCAUCGAACGGAUAAAGGAUUUGUGUCGGUAACUCAUUUAAAUAUUGUUAAUUCUCACGUGCUUCCUGUAAAUCAGACCAGUAAACCAAGUGCUCAAACACCCCCUGUGCUUCCUACAAGACGCAGUAGUCAAGGCAGUCUUACACAAGAUUCCUCUGUUGAACAGAGAAUUCAAGAGCUGGAAAUGAAACUAGAGAGUGAAACCAAAAGAACUGUACAUCUUCAAACUGAGCUUGAACAGUCCAUGAAAAUAAGAAAUAGUUUAACUCAACGAAUUACUGAAUUUGAACAUUCUGAACAUCUGUUAAAGAACAAAGUCUGUGAUCUUCAGCAAAAAUUGGAUGAGCUAAACGAAAAGCUUGCAUCAGCCGAGAAAUCGCCGUCAUCAGUGAAGUGUGAUGGUAACCACAUCAUCUUCCUCACGAGGAUCCAGCAGCUGGAGGCGAGAGAGAAGUCAAACUCUGCUAGGAGUGACCAGGAUGCCGACCAGUCGCAGAAGCCUCUGAAGCUGAAGAUCAAGUCUUUUGAGCAGAAAGGUUUGGAGCAGACGGCCACGCAGAAGAAGGCGGCGGCAGCCAUGUUGGAUAAACCAGAAGACAUCCUGCAGCAGCAGAUCAGGGAGCUGGAGAGAUUAGAGAAACAUCAGAAACAACAGAUCAAUGAUCUCGAAGCAGACCGUGAGCAUCUACAUGAAAUUGCCAGGAAGGACAAAUCUCUGAUACACGAGCAGAAUGUUCGAAUCCGUGAGCUCCAGCUUGGCGAGAAGGUCCUGCGUGAGCAGGUUGCCAACUAUGAACAGUCCGAGAGAGCCCUGUACUGCAAGUGUGAACAACUCGAGGCGCAGGUGUCCAAGAUGGAGGACCGCAUCCACGAGCUGAACAUCCACGAACGACGUCUCCGAGAUCUUGUGAGGAAGCUGAAGCUCGACGAAGAGCUAUGGCUGGCCAAGUCCGAAAACAUGGAGCUCACCGUUGAGGAGCUAUCGGCGUCCGAAGCCAAUCUGAAGGCGAGACUGCAGGAGCUUGCUGAGGAGAAGUUCGGCUUGGCCGAGAAAGCCAAUUACCUCGACGCACGCAUCAAGGAGCUCGAGAUGUCGGAAACGGCCCUGUUCCAGCGGGUUAAGAAUUACGAACACUUCGAAGCCAGCCUUCAUUCGGAGUUCUCACAGCUGGAGAACGCCAAAGUGGCGGCUCAGAGUAAAGUGUCCGAGCUGGACUUGAUGAACAUGGAUAUGUCUCAGAGGUACCAGAGAGCUGUGGAGGAGAACACGGUGUUUCUCAAACAUGUGCAGGAGCAGCAAGGGCUGGUCCAGGAUCUCAGCCGACAGCUGAUGGUUGUCAGGGACAGCGAGCUGUGCCUGAAACAGCAGGUGGAGAGUCUGGAGAAGAGCGAGACGACGCUACAGAAACGAGUCAAGGAGUACCAGUUGAGGGAAAUCGACUUCCAGUCGCGGAUUCAGGAGCUCAGACAGUCGGAGCUGAUUCUGAAGAAUCGUGUCAACACAUUGCAGCGAAAUGAUACUAAGAUGAAGUAUAGGAUUCAGGAACUGGAGGACAAUGUCUUUCAGAAUGGACAAGAAACAUGCCAAAAGGAGGCCAUGCCUCAGAAGUUGGAAGAUUGUCAGAAACGGAUCCAAGUCCUACAGAAGCAGCUAGAGAUGCUGGAGAACAGAGGUCAGUUGCGGCUCGGUAUUUCCCAGGACGGAGAUAUCAUCAAGGUGCCGAGGACGGAAUUUGAGAAGAUGGAGACGAAGGUGGCGCUGCUCGACAACGCUGAUGUCCAGAUGGGUGAGCUACAGAAGGUGAACGCUCACCUCAAGGACUCACUCUCUCAGCUUCGUCAGGGCAAGGAUGUGUCUGGUGACGAGGUGGAGCUAGAAGCAUACCGGAGACGACUGCAGUCGUACGAGGAGCUGGUGCAGAGACUGAAGCAGAACCUCUCACAGGAGCAGGUUACCUCUUUGUGGGACUCUGAGUCAAAUGAUCAGGGUCCCUCGAUGGAAAUUCUUCCGAAACGGAAUUUACAAUUUCUCGAGUCAGAGAGGGUAAUGCAGACAGUCCGAGGCUUGACAGGGAAACAACCCAGUUCCGGAGAUAGUCCGCCCCGGAACUCAUUACACGGUGUGUCGUCAACAUCUAAAGUCGACGAUGUCGAAGAAGAUACUAUUGAACCGAUUCAAGGCACUUCACUGUUCCGCAAAUCUGAAGCAGAUACUGAAAUGGAUGAGGAACCUCAGAUAUCUGUUGCCCAGAUUGUGAAAAAACUUGAAUCAGGCGACGUAGAGACGCCCACCGAAGAGGAACAUUGGAAAACCAUUGAGUCAAUGAACACUAACACAGUGGAAGCGACUCCUGUUUCGAGUGGAUGGAAGAGUGUUGCCAAGGCAACAUCUUCUGGUUCUCCAAAGAGUUCCUCUAAACAAGAAGAGUUAGUCAUUGGUCUCACGCUCCAGUCGGAGAGCGAACUAAGCCAUUCGCGUUCACAGAAUGACAGUGAUUCUACCGUGUCAAGCCCACACUUCAAGAGAGCAAAACGAGCCACUGCUCGCCAAGAACCCAGCACCGAAUCUACAGCUCCACCUCUGCCAAAAACACGGCCGCCAUCUUUGUCAAAGAUGAAAGUUUUCGCACAGGGAACGUCCUACUAUCUGCCGAGUUUGGGACAAGACGCCAGUGUCGAUGAGAGUCUGGCCAAUGAGAGUGUCAGACAACAAAAUACUGUCACUUCAUUGGAUACAUCUUCAGUGCAGACAUCGAGAACGGCGUUAUCAUUGGACAGUGUUCCUGAUAGUGGACGAGGCACAGCGUCGACGUCACGAGGCAACAUCAGGGAUAGAAUAGCUCAAAUAGAAAGGCACUUACAGGGAAAAGACAGUAGUGCAGAAAGUAGGAUAGAUGAUGAUGACAGUGUUUUUACAUGGUCAAAGACGUCAGAAAAGAGCAGACAACUGGAGGCCUCUGAAACUGAAGUGAAGCUGCAAAAAGAUGAGCACCCCCCUGCUUACCGCCGGCGCCAAAAGGUAAGUGAGGGGAAUGUUUGGCGCACAUCACUAAUGUUUUCACCACAGUCUCGUCCAACGCAAUCACAAGAUAAAUAAAUUAGAAAAAGAGUUAGAAGAAAAAAGAAGACAUAUAGAAAUUUUAGAAAAUUGGACAUUCAACAUUGAGAAGAUGCUGAAAAAUAAGGACAAGCGAAGUGAUCGCAACAUUGUACAGACUAUA
rnacentral:misc_RNA from 1 species